AUGCAGUCGAGCGGUAGAGAGAAGCUUGCUUCUCUUGAGAGCGGCGGACGGGUGAGUAAUGCCUAGGAAUCUGCCUGGUAGUGGGGGAUAACGUUCGGAAACGGACGCUAAUACCGCAUACGUCCUACGGGAGAAAGCAGGGGACCUUCGGGCCUUGCGCUAUCAGAUGAGCCUAGGUCGGAUUAGCUAGUUGGUGAGGUAAUGGCUCACCAAGGCGACGAUCCGUAACUGGUCUGAGAGGAUGAUCAGUCACACUGGAACUGAGACACGGUCCAGACUCCUACGGGAGGCAGCAGUGGGGAAUAUUGGACAAUGGGCGAAAGCCUGAUCCAGCCAUGCCGCGUGUGUGAAGAAGGUCUUCGGAUUGUAAAGCACUUUAAGUUGGGAGGAAGGGCAGUUACCUAAUACGUGAUUGUUUUGACGUUACCGACAGAAUAAGCACCGGCUAACUCUGUGCCAGCAGCCGCGGUAAUACAGAGGGUGCAAGCGUUAAUCGGAAUUACUGGGCGUAAAGCGCGCGUAGGUGGUUUGUUAAGUUGGAUGUGAAAUCCCCGGGCUCAACCUGGGAACUGCAUUCAAAACUGACUGACUA
rnacentral:rRNA from 2 species